UACGGGGGGGGCAAGCGUUGUUCGGAAUUACUGGGCGUAAAGGGCUCGUAGGCGGCCAACUAAGUCGGAUGUGAAAUCCCCAGGCUUAGCCUGGGAACUGCAUCCGAUACUGGAUGGCUUGAAUUCGGGAGAGGGAUGCAGAAUUCCAGGUGUAGCGGUGAAAUGCGUAGAUAUCUGGAGGAAUACCGGUGGCGAAGGCGGCAUCCUGGACCGACAUUGACGCUGAGGAGCGAAAGCUAGGGGAGCAAACGGG
rnacentral:rRNA from 1 species